rnacentral:rRNA from 1 species
AUUGAACGCUGGCGGCAUGCCUUACACAUGCAAGUCGAACGGCAGCACGGGAGCAAUCCUGGUGGCGAGUGGCGAACGGGUGAGUAAUAUAUCGGAACGUGCCCAGUCGUGGGGGAUAACGUAGCGAAAGCUACGCUAAUACCGCAUACGAUCUAUGGAUGAAAGCGGGGGAUCGCAAGACCUCGCGCGAUUGGAGCGGCCGAUAUCAGAUUAGGUAGUUGGUGAGGUAAAGGCUCACCAAGCCGACGAUCUGUAGCUGGUCUGAGAGGACGACCAGCCACACUGGGACUGAGACACGGCCCAGACUCCUACGGGAGGCAGCAGGGGGGAAUUUUGGACAAUGGGCGCAAGCCUGAUCCAGCAAUGCCGCGUGCAGGAUGAAGGCCUU